rnacentral:rRNA from 1 species
GCUAGCGUUGUUCGGAAUUACUGGGCGUAAAGCGCGUGUAGGCGGUUGUUGAAGUCAGGGGUGAAAGCCUUGAGCUCAACUCAAGAAAUGCACUUGAUACUGGGAAGCUUGAGUCCGGGAGAGGUGAGUGGAACUGCGAGUGUAGAGGUGAAAUUCGUAGAUAUUCGCAAGAACACCAGUGGCGAAGGCGGCUCACUGGCCCGGUACUGACGCUGAGGUGCGAAAGCGUGGGGAGCAAACAGG